rnacentral:lncRNA from 1 species
AGAGAAGUGCAAGUAUGUGAUAUCCAGAGAGGAGGCCUUGGGCACAAAAGGGAAAGCAUUAUGUAAUGGAACGUCAGAGGUAGAGAUUAUGCAAUUACAGACAAUACACAGUUUGGUGGUGUGGCUAAGUCCAGAGAGCUGCACAGUGAACGUGUGAAGUAGAAGAGGAGCAGUAUCUACCUCGUGGCACCCCUAGUCUUGUAGAACCUUGUAGAGCCGGUUCUUUUAUGAAAGUCCUUUUGUGAAAGACUUGUGCAGUUUUAUAAUCUACUUAAAUUUGUAUUUAUAGUAUGAAGGAACAAAACCCUCUGAUUUCUACAUGAAAAACAAACCCUCUUUUG